GAGUGCCAAUAUAGGCAGCAACCAGAUAGAUGCAGCAACACCAUCUAGGAGACCAGAACACCAUACUCAAGGUCAUUGCUCUCCCGUUUCAUAUCCCUCUCCUCUCCCCAUGCAUACACCCAACUGCCUUCUUUCAGAGAUGAGUAGAGGGGAGAAAGACAAAAAUCUGAGAGACAUCCUUCCCCAUUCCAAGGCUGGAAAUUGCCUGCAGGAACCAUUUAUGUUAUCAAAUCAGUCUAGGUUUAAACUGGGUUAGAGAUUUGUUUAAAACUUUUUCCUGGAGUUCCCAUCUUGGUGCAGUGGAAAUGAAUCUGACUAGGAACCAUGAGGUUGCGGGUUCGAUCCCUGCUCUUGCUCAGUGGAUUAAGGAUCCUGUGUUGCCAUAAGCUGUGGUGUAGGUUGCAGACAUGGCUCGGAUCUGGCAUUGCUGUGGCUCUGGCAUAGGUCAGCAGCAACAGCUCUGAUUAGACCCCCAGCCUAGGAACACCCAUAUGUCGAGGGUAUGGCCCUAAAAAGACAAAAACAUAAAAACAAAAAAAUAAAACUGUUUCCUCUAACCAGAGGAUGGGGGCUCAUAUAGAAAACUAAACAACAACAGCAAAACAUUUUCUCUGCAUAGCUAAGAUGUCUGAGUUAAAAUGUUUGACCCCUAUUACGCAUCGACAAUCCCCCAAAGACCUCUAAUUGUAUUUGAAAGGGGGAGAGAAAUUGUCACCAGUGAUUUGUCACCUGAGGUUUACUGAUGCAUGAAGUUAAUCUCAACUUUCUAUUCACGUAGGGGUUUAUUUGCACACAGUGUACUACAUUAAUUUUUUAGCACAGUUUUCAUGUAUUUUUAUUAAAGUAUACUUUUCUUCUGACAUUUUAAAAGCCCUGUUGGUGUUGUAGGAACCAGUGCAUGCACUCAUCUGCUUGAUUCAUGCCUGCUUCUCUGCUUACUAUUUGUGUUUAUCUCCAGUGAGAGCAGAGCUGAAAGUCCUGUUUAUCCUUUGCUGUUCAUUCAAUAUUAAUGUAGGCUUUUACAUAUUCCCAGGGUAUAUUAUUCUUGAUGCUUAUAUGCUACAGAACUAGAGGACCCGCUAAAUUCCAUAAUUUAGGUAAAAAUAAUUUUUAGUACUUACUACUGAGAGUAGAGUUAAAGUAUGCAAGCUCUUUUCCUUUAACAUACUGAUUUUGGGGGAGGUCAUUAUUUUUAAAAAGACUCAGAUUUACUGAAAUUUUUAAAAAAUGUUCUUGAUUUUAUUUUACUAUUAGAGUUACAUGAAGUUAUAUUCCUCAUGGUUAUGUUAUUUAUUUAUUUACUUGGAAAGCAAAGGAAUUAUGUCAUGGGGCCAAACUGUUCCUGAAAAAUAUUUUAACUAGAGAAAAAGAAAUCCAGUAUUUAUCGGGCCUCUAUUCCAUACCAAUCACUUUGUCCUUUCAUUUAACUUUCUAAACAGUAGCCUCAUCCCAUUGAAGUCCCAGUUAAGGGAGCCCAGGUUGAAUACAUGAGUUAAUGUCUUUUUACCAAAGGGCUCCUGGAGAAUUUGCCUAAACUUAGUAUCUCUAAGGCAGAGUAUUCUGGAAAUGAAGAAGGUCUGGGAAGAAACAUUUUGCAAGAAAAGGGCUUUCAAAUCCUCUUAAGUAGUAAGGGACAGCCUGUUCUAGCUCAGAUCAGGGCCAAAUCGGUAAUGAAGGAACAAUGGAACCAUAGACAGUGAACACAUGGAGACUAGUGCCACUUUCUAGUGCCUGUGUGCUCCUGGGUAAAUUACAUAACCUCUUUGAGCCUUGGUUUCAUUCAUCUGUAAAUUGGGGAUCACCAUGGGAACUGGCGUACAGACCUUGCAGAAUUGUUUGCAGAUGAAUGAAGUUAUAUGUUUUUUUUUUUUUUUUGGUCUUUUGUCUUUUGUCUUUUUAGGGCCACACUUGAGGCAUAUGGAGGUUCCCAGGAUAGGGAUCUAAUAGUAGCUGUUGCUGCCAGCCUACACCAUAGCCACAGCUAUGCCAGAUUCUUAACCCAUGGAGCAAAGCCAGGGAUUGAACCCGAGUCCUUAUGGAUACUAGUUGGGUUCAUUAACCACUGAGCCACAAUGGGAACUCCGAGAGAGAGUUUUGUAUAUGAUAAAGCAUGUUGACUUAAAAAUAUGUACAGUCUAAAAAUGAGAGUCAAAUUUUAUUUGGGCCAAAAUGAGAACUAUAGCCUGGGAGAAAGCAUUUCAGAUUAACUCUGAAAACUGCUCCCAAGAGGUGGGGAGAAUGUUGGUAUAUAUGUGAUUUUGGUAUUGGGGGAGGUACAGGCAACCAAGUGCACAUUUUACAGAAGUUUACUUGCUGGUCUUAUGAAGGUUACUGCUAGUCACAAAGAGCAGAUGUCACCAUGAAGGAUUUUAGCGGUUUUCUAGAUUUGAGGGGAUGUAAGAAUUGGGCUCAUAAAAUCUUCUCUUGAAAUUAUCUAACUACCUGACAACCUGUUCUACCGGUUUUCCCAGAGCACAGGGUGCCUCACCCCUGAUCUUCACCCUAAACUCUUUCAGGGUGUGUUGAGGGUCAGCAGCUGCCGUAGCUCAUGAUUCAAUCAGUGUAGAGGCAGAUGGCAAGGGCCAAUCUCCUGUUCACAGGCAUAGUAAGAGUUUUUCUUGGUCCAGGUAAGUAAGGGCACGGAGAAGGGACAGGAAUGGCUGCAGAGGAGGAGUAGUGUUGGCAGGGAUCCUAGUCUAGGGAGGAUGGAACUUUUUCCAGACCCUGCUCCUAGCAAUCAAGUAUCUAACGGUAUUUUCCAUAACAGUCCUCUCACCAGAUCCCUAUGUGUCUAGGACACCACCCUGCUUCUUUCUUUCUGAUUUAUUCUGUUCUGGUCUAUAGCAAAACACACGUUUGGUGUUUAGAUCAUAUGGAAAAAGUUAGAUAAAAACUUGCCCAAUUCUCAGGAUGUGGAGAACGUUGCUCCUCCUAUUGGUGAAAUACUGGCUGUUACUAGAGGGAAGGCGCAUCAGGAAGCCAGUGAGAAGCUCAGCUAUUUGUUACAUUCACACUCUGUUGCAUAGCAACGGAAGGCAGGGAUGGGACAACUGACUUGUCCUCCACAACUCCUGGUUGCUUGAAUAUGCCUUGCUGAGGAGCCCUUUACUUUAAUGACUCCUCCAUUCGCCAAUCUCUCUAAUAUAUUUAUUUCCAUUAUCUCACUUCCUGUUGGUUUUUCUCAAUUCCCUUCCCAGUCUGGGGAAACAUGGUGGAGACUCCAAGGGAAGUUUUACUCUAAUCUUCACUUUUUUUUUCCUCCCCAAAGUUUGGCCCAAGUCCCAAGUUUGCGCUGGAAAUCUAAGCUAGGAAGACUUGUUCAGACUUUUUACCUUGACGUACUUUUCUUCUGAGACAAUUAUGGCAAUGGACUGAAUGUUUAUGUUCCCAUCCCCUAAAUUCCUAUGUUGAAAUCCUAACCUCCAGUGUGUUGGUUUUAAGAGGUGGUGCUGUUGGGAAGUGAUUAGAAAUUAGCUCAUGAGGGUGGGGGCUUCAUUAUUAUGAUUCGUGCCCUUAUAAAAGGGACCCUAAGGAGUUGCCUUGCCCUUUCUCCAUCUGAGCACAGAGUGAGAAAAUGGCCAUCUGUAAGCCAGGAAGCAGACUCUCCCAAGAUAUCAAAUCUGCUAAUGCCUUGAUCUUGGACUUCUAGGCCUCUAGAGUUAUGUGAUAUACAUCAUUGUUUACAAGUUACCUAGUCUUUUGUGUUCUAUUAUAGUUCUGUUAUAGUAGCCUGGACAGACUAAGGCAAUUAUGCAGAAGUAGCCUGACUGCUUGAAAGUGUGUGGAGUGUGUCGGAGAGUUUGCAAGUCCAAUGGAGGAAAUACCCUUGGGAAGAUACAUUAAUAUUAAAAAAAAUGCUCCUGCUACACACAUAUUUGAAAUUGUUUACUGUGGCAGACUCUGGAGGACCUAGAAUAAUUCAUUUUAACCCUUUCUCCUCUUCCAAGACAGCUUUUUAUCAUAUGCCUCAGGGAUAGAAUCCAGCACUUAGUUUCAUCAAUUUCUAGGGUCUGGGCUUAGCCAAAAUCAGAAACAAAUUUUGUCCAAGAGAAAUCAUGAUGUAAAGAGGAUGAUUAUUUUGGGGUUAAGGAGUCUAAAAGAGUUGGUUUCAAAUUUGUGUAAAAGAGAACAUUUUUGCAGGCCCUUUUAGGAACAACCUGUCAUGGUAACCAGGUAAGGGCAGCAAGAAGUCAUGUUUGUUGAUUCCCACUGAACUGCAACACUCGUUGGUUCAGCUUUGACUGCUGCUUCGAUAUGGUUCUAUGUUGUAGUUCUAACAUGAAUAGAAUUUCAUUUUUAAAAAUCUUAAAAAUAAACCCAAAUUUGCUAAACAUUUAUAUUGUUAUUUAUUUGCAAAAAUAGUUCACCAUCUUGAGUUUCAUUUCUGCCUCUGCUCCCACAUAUUUUAUCAACUUUCUUCUCAUUAUAAAUUUCACACCACAGAGUAGCAUAGAGCUGAGAACAGCAGACAGGAGAACAGAUAUAAUUAAAAUACAUUUCUCAACUAUACUUAGAAAUUAGGGCAAAAAUUGUGUGCAUCAAAAUAGGAUACUGAGAGAUUAAUGCUUGAAAGCCAGCUCUUCGUAGUUCAGGGACUCUUAGCCAGGUUAGUACUAAUAGACAUGGAAGGAUAAACAUUUUAUUGAACAGCCUUAAAAAAGACUCAAUAUAUUUUAAUACAAAUUUUCUUGUCUAUAAAGGAAGGCUAAAUUUAUUCUGAUUUGCAAAGACUCGAGAAUCAAAAUUUUUUAAAAAUUUGGAUGGUCUUAAAUAUAUUAACAAUUAUUGCCUAUUCAACACUGUCCCCACCAAGUUCCUGCUUUAUUUUAUUUAUUUAUUUAUUUUUUUUUGCCACACUCAUGGCAUGUGGAAGUUCCUGGGGCAGGGAUUGAGCCUGUACUGUAGUUGCGGCCUCUGCCACAGCUGCAGAGGCAAUGCUUGAUCCGUAAUCCACUGUGCUACAAAGGAACUUCCACCAAAUUGCUGCUUAUGUUCUGAAGUUUAUUCACUGCUUCUGUCCUUGGUUCUUCGGAUGAGCCAUAGUUGUAGUGCUCUUCAAACACCUGCCAAUUUAUUUUCUUAAAGAAAGUCUUUUCUUGGAGUUCCCUUCAUGGCUCAGCAGAAACAAAUCUGACUAGUAUCCAUGAGGAUGCAGUUUCGAUUCCUGGCCUCGCCCUGUGGGUUAAGGAUCAGGCAUUGCCAUGAGCUGUGGUGUAGGCCAGCGGCUACAGUUCUGAUUCAGAUUCCAUUGCUAACCUGAGAACCUCCACAUGCCACGGGUACGGCCCUAAAAAAAAAAA
rnacentral:lncRNA from 1 species